rnacentral:misc_RNA from 1 species
GACAAUGGGUGGCAAAGGCUGUUGCUGGCUUGAAUGAGCAUGUGCACGUCUUUUGCUGCUUAUUUCAUUCAUUUUUCCUCCUGUGCACCUUUUGUAGACACUUGGGAGUGAGAGGUUGGUUGUAAUGAUUGACUGACCUCUUGACAAUUGAUCUGGGUGUCUAUGCCAUUUUUAUAAACACGGCUGCAUGUCUAUAGAAUGAGAGAUUGUAGGGUUUUUUUAAAAAAGCCUUUAAAUGAUAAAGUACAACUUUCAACAACGGAUCUCUUGGCUCUCGCAUCGAUGAAGAACGCAGCGAAAUGCGAUAAGUAAUGUGAAUUGCAGAAUUCAGUGAAUCAUCGAAUCUUUGAACGCAUCUUGCGCUCCUUGGUAUUCCGAGGAGCAUGCCUGUUUGAGUGUCAUUCAAGUAUCUCAAAAGUUCUUAUGCACUAUGCAGGGAACUUUUGGACAUUGGGAGUUGCUGGUCACUGAUAAAAGUGGUUGGCUCUUCUGAAAUGCAUUAGUUGAGGAGCUUUUUGCACUCUAUUGGUGUGAUAGACUAUCUAUGCCAGGAGAAGCAUUGUGAAGCCUCUACUGUCUAACAGUCCUUAUUGGACAAGAUGAUAAACUUGACCUCAAAUCAGGUAGGACUACCCGCUGAACUUAAGCAUAUCAUAA